GCCUCCCUCUGUGCCUCUGCCUGCCUGUCUCAGGCUGCUGCAGCACUUGGCCUGGUAGAGUGCAGGGAGGGGGUCUCCUGGACUCCAUUUCUCCUCUUCUGAGAUUUCACUCCUCAGGUGCCCCAGCCAGACCUAGUUAGAGCAGUGGGAACAUAUUUUAUUCAUUAACUGCUGAGGGUGGAAGAAGGUGCUGACAUUCACCAGGGAGCCAGGACAGGCCCUGCCUCUGAGCUGGGAGGAGCUCCUGCACAGCGCAUGGCCAAAGGGGCGUGGUCAAUAAGGGGCAGGGCCUUGCCGCCAUCUUUAAUGCUGCCUCCUUGAGAAUGAGGAGCUGACUUCCCUCUCAGGACCAACCCGGGAGAGCCCCAGUCCUGGGAGUGUUGGGUCACUCCACAGGGAGUGGCAGAGCCCCCUUCUCAGAGCAGAUUGAGAGAGACACCCAGGUUGUGGACUCUCAUGGGUCAUGCCUCCAGGGGCUCACGGAGCUCCCUUCUCAGAGCAGCCUCAGCGUGUGGAUUCUUGGCUUAGGGACUUUCAUCAUGAACAUUUGAAAUAAAAUCAGAAUUUGUUAAAGGGCAGAUGACAGCCAGCCUUGAGCCCUGAUGAUCCCAGGAUCCCAUCCAGUGGGAGAACUCUACAUAUCAGUCCAAGCUUUUGAUCCCAUCUAGGAGCCAACAUGACAUCCAGUCAUCAUGUCUCCAUAGACUUCUCUUGGGGUGACAGUUUCUAUGAACUUCCUUGUUCUGAUGACCUUGAGAGCAUUGAGGACGACUUGUCAGGUAUUUUUAUAAUUUUUUUUUGAAUCUUCCUUUUUUUCAUAUUUAAACUGGGGUUUGUGGGUCUGGGGGAGGCAGGUCACAGAGGUGAAGAGCUGCUCUGUCAUCUCUUGUCCUUAUUGUCCUAUUAGUAUUGACUGUGCUCACCUGGCUGAGGCAGUGUCUUUCAGGUUUCCUUGUGUUUCUCAUAUUUAGCCUGGGGCUAUUGGACUGGGGGAAGCUGGUCACUGAGAUGAAAAGCAGCUCUAUCAUCUCAUGCCCUCAAGGUGAAAUGGUAGUAUUGAUUGUGCUCACCUGCUUGAGGAAGGGCCUUUCAGGUUUCUUACUGUGAAGUUACUCUUUUUUUGCAUGUCCACAUUGUCUGUUCUUCGGGAGGAAGUCGUAAUGCAGAGCCCACGCUUAGGGAUCAGAGAGUUAGCUCUACCUCCUUGAUGACUGUGUCUCUCUCAAUUCUAUAGAAUUCUUCUGCACAAGAGGUUUCUACUCAACCUCAUUUGUUUGUGUAUUCAGUCAUUUAUAUAUAUCAGUCAUCUGGAUAAUUUGCUUAAGCUGAUUUUUGUCCCCCCCCCCCUUUUUAAAAAAUACUUUCCUGCUCAAUUUAUCCCUACUUUAACCAUUGGGAAUUCUUUCCAUUCUCUCCUGUUGUCCUUUAACAUAUUUUCUGGUUUUGUCCCAAAGUUUUUUCUUUCUGAUAUUUAAAUUACCCUGACUUAUAUAUUUACUGUCUUACUUUUAGUAUCAGCCAUUUCUUCAAAGAGUCAUGGCUCCUUUGAUUGGAGAGUGAUAUUAAAAUCUUUCAUCUGGCAGGGGCUGGGGUUGUGACUCAGUGGCAGUGUACUCAUCUGGCAUGUGUGAGGCACUGGGUUCGAUCCUCAGCACCACAUAAAAAUAAACAAAUAAAAUAAAGGUCUUUAAACAGUGUAUAAAAAAUAUUUCAUCUUGCAUCUUGAUCCACACAACUGACAAUGCAAAGAAGUUUAUGUGUAUUCUAAUCUUUUCAUACCCCCUAGUUAUAACUAUGUUUAUGUGGAACCAUCUGUGAAUGUAUUAAGCAAAAUGUGAGUUUAUACUGAUCUGCAAUCAGUGGAUUCUGACCCAUUAUGACAUAGAUCCCUCUGCCUUCACCCCUUGUUUAUCAUAACUUCUCACCCCAUCAGUGGGAAAUCUAGCUCCCAGUUUCUGCCAUAUAAUUAAUUCAUUGUUCCAUUAUGAGCAAUGAAUUCAUUAUUGCUCCAGAUUAUGGGCUGUGACAUAAUAAGAAAUACACAUUCAGCCUCUGCACCCAGUUCCUGGUGCAGCACUCCUAAAAUCUUCAUAUUUGCUGAGUGACAGAGGUGUUUGGAGCAUUUUUUUGUCCUAAUAUUGAUUCUUUUACCUUGGUUAUUUGCACAGAGCUCCUAAAUCCUGCAGAAUCUCCUGGGGGCCUAGGAGGGGCUUGUGCUUUAAUAAGGACUUUUGGUGGGCUCUAGGGAAGCUUCAGGAUGGAGGAUGGUCAUGAGAAAAACCACAGGAAGGGUGGUGCACCGCAACUCCAUGUAGAUGGAGACUCCUGUGCUGGGAGGCACCUGGGCCUCAUCCUGCACAAGUCUUCCUCUGUAAUUUUGUCUUUUCUAGAAUGUCAUAAAAGGUAAACCAUACAGCAUGUAGCCUCUUCAGCCUGGCUUAUUUCACUUAGUGUACCAGGUAGAAUUUAUCUAUUUCUCUGUGUAGGGUGGUAGUUCAUUCCUUUAUAUUCUGUGUUGGUUAUGCAUUCAGGUAUGGGAGGACAUUUUUUUUUGAAUUUUAAUAUUCAUUUUUUAGUUUUCGGCGGACACAACAUCUUUGUUUGUAUGUGGUGCUGAGGAUCGAACCUGGGCUGCAUGUAUGCCAAGCGAGCACGCUACCACUUGAGCCACAUCCCCAGCCCUGGGAGGACAUUCUUAUUUAUGAUCUGAUCAGCAUCAUAGAGCUGCUAUUCAUAAUUACAUGCUAGUUUUGUUUUGACAUAGUUUUUCAAAGAAUUUCUCUAAAAGAAGAUGAUUUAUAGGGACACUACUGGGUUAUAGAUUGGACUUUUUUGCUUUGGGAAGAACUGGCACAUCAUCUUCCAA